UACGGAGGGGGCUAGCGUUGUUCGGAAUUACUGGGCGUAAAGCGCACGUAGGCGGCUUUGUAAGUUAGAGGUGAAAGCCCAGGGCUUAACCCUGGAAUUGCCUUUAAGACUGCAUCGCUAGAAUCGUGGAGAGGUAAGUGGAAUUCCUGGUGUAGAGGUGAAAUUCGUAGAUAUCAGGAGGAACACCAGUGGCGAAGGCGGCUUUCUGGACGAUAACUGACGCUGAGACGCGAAAGCGUGGGGAGCAAACAGG
rnacentral:rRNA from 1 species